AGAGUUUGAUCCUGGCUCAGGACGAACGCUGGCGGCGUGCCUAAUACAUGCAAGUAGAACGCUGAAGGAGGAGCUUGCUUCUCCGGAUGAGUUGCGAACGGGUGAGUAACGCGUAGGUAACCUGCCUGGUAGCGGGGGAUAACUAUUGGAAACGAUAGCUAAUACCGCAUAACAGUAGAUAUUGCAUGAUAUCUACUUGAAAGGUGCAAUUGCACCACUACCAGAUGGACCUGCGUUGUAUUAGCUAGUUGGUGAGGUAACGGCUCACCAAGGCGACGAUACAUAGCCGACCUGAGAGGGUGAUCGGCCACACUGGGACUGAGACACGGCCCAGACUCCUACGGGAGGCAGCAGUAGGGAAUCUUCGGCAAUGGGGGCAACCCUGACCGAGCAACGCCGCGUGAGUGAAGAAGGUUUUCGGAUCGUAAAGCUCUGUUGUAAGUCAAGAACGAGUGUGAGAGUGGAAAGUUCACACUGUGACGGUAGCUUACCAGAAAGGGACGGCUAACUACGUGCCAGCAGCCGCGGUAAUACGUAGGUCCCGAGCGUUGUCCGGAUUUAUUGGGCGUAAAGCGAGCGCAGGCGGUUUGAUAAGUCUGAAGUUAAAGGCUGUGGCUCAACCAUAGUUCGCUUUGGAAACUGUCAAACUUGAGUGCAGAAGGGGAGAGUGGAAUUCCAUGUGUAGCGGUGAAAUGCGUAGAUAUAUGGAGGAACACCGGUGGCGAAAGCGGCUCUCUGGUCUGUAACUGACGCUGAGGCUCGAAAGCGUGGGGAGCGAACAGGAUUAGAUACCCUGGUAGUCCACGCCGUAAACG
rnacentral:rRNA from 1 species